rnacentral:rRNA from 1 species
GGCCUACCAAGGCGACGAUGCGUAGCCGACCUGAGAGGGUGAUCGGCCACACUGGGACUGAGACACGGCCCAGACUCCUACGGGAGACAGCAGUUAGGAAUAUUCGUCAAUGGGGGGAACCCUGAACGAGCAAUGCCGCGUGAACGAAGAAGGUCCUCUGGAUUGUAAAGUUCUGUUGUUAGGGACGAACGACCAGUAUAGGAAAUGAUACUGGAGUGACGGUACCUUUCAAGAAAGCUCCGGCUAACUAC